AUACGGAGGAUCCGAGCGUUAUCCGGAUUUAUUGGGUUUAAAGGGUGCGCAGGCGGCCAUUUAAGUCAGCGGUUAAAUCGUGGGGCUCAACCCCAUUCUGCCGUUGAUACUGGGUGGCUUGAUUGCGGUCGAGGUUGGCGGAAUUCGUUGUGUAGCGGUGAAAUGCAUAGAUAUGACGAAGAACACCGAUUGCGUAGGCAGCUGACCAGACCGCAAAUGACGCUCAUGCACGAAAGUGCGGGGAUCGAACAGGAUUAGAUACCCUGGUAGUCCGCACAGUAAACGAUGAAUACUUGGUUUCGGCGAUAUAAUGUCGGAGGCAAAGCGAAAGCGAUAAGUAUUCCACCUGGGGAGUACGCCGGCAACGGUGAAACUCAAAGGAAUUGACGGG
rnacentral:rRNA from 1 species